AGGACGAACGCUGGCGGCGUGCUUAACACAUGCAAGUCGAGCGGAAAGGCCCUUCGGGGUACUCGAGCGGCGAACGGGUGAGUAACACGUGGGCAACCUGCCCUUAGCUCUGGGAUAGCUCCGGGAAACCGGAAUUAAUACCGGAUAUGACCUAGGCCGACAUCGGCCGUGGUGGAAAGUUUUUCGGCUAGGGAUGGACUCGCGGUCUAUCAGCUAGUUGGUGGGGUAAUGGCCUACCAAGGCGACGACGGGUAGCCGGCCUGAGAGGGCGACCGGCCACACUGGGACUGAGACACGGCCCAGACUCCUACGGGAGGCAGCAGUGGGGAAUCUUGCGCAAUGGGCGAAAGCCUGACGCAGCGACGCCGCGUGGGGGAUGAAGGCCUUCGGGUUGUAAACCCCUUUCAGCAGGACGAAGCGAAAGUGACGGUACCUGCAGAGAAGCGCCGGCUAACUACGUGGCCAGUAGCCGC
rnacentral:rRNA from 1 species